ensembl:processed_transcript Gm44957 predicted gene 44957
GGCGCUGGGAAGGCGGGGUAGCGGCGGCGGCCGCCUGGUAGACUGGCGCUGGGUGAGGCUGCUGGUAGACUCCGCCCGGCUUCACCUUCUCAGUGUAGAGAAAGAUUUCCUUAAGUCUCCAAGCAAAAUCAUAUCCCCUGUACCGGCUAGGUUUGUGUGUCAACAAGCUGGAGUUAUCACAGAAAAAGGAGCCUCCCUUGUGGAAAUGUGUCCAUGAGAUCCAGCUGUAAGGCAUUUUCUCAAUUAGUGAUCAAGGGUAGGAGGGCCCAUUGUGAGUGGUGCCAUUCCUGGGCUGUUCUGGAUUCUACAGGAAAACACACUGAGCAAGCCAGUAACAUUCCUCCGUGGGCUUUGCUCCUGCUUCCUGACCUGCUUGAGUUCCAGUCCAGACUUCCUUGGUGAUGAACAGCAGUAUGGAAGUGUAAGCUGAAUAAACCCUUUCCUCCAC